AAAAAAUCUACUAUCUUGCCAAAAGCAUUUAUUAUUCCCCUUUUAGUGAAAGAAUUAAACCAUCGGAAUCAAAAUGUGUUAUAAGAUAUUUAUAUCAUCAUUAUUGGCAUUAACUAUUAUCGUUACAGAUUGAUAAAAUUCCCAGACUCAUUCCUGUUCUGUGGACAUGGCCACCCUUCCUCACAUUAAGCCAUUGUUAUCUUGUUUAACCAAAAUUGGGGACCCUAUCUGCAUGUAGAGUGAAAAAGGGCCUGAAGAAAGUACAAGUAGAAUAUUAUGCAGUCUAGUCAUAUUGAUUUGACCACCUGUCAACAGCAAGAAUGAUCAGCUGUUACAAUACAGACCACAGAUAGACAUACAGGAAGAAAAUUCCUUGAGGUUCUGAAAAUUACUCAAAGGGAAGUGAGGUUAUGCUGACUCAAGCAUUGUGAGAAAAAUUAAACAAAUUGAUAAACAAGAAUCCAGCAAACCAAACAUUUAGCCCAUAAAAGACAAUGAUAAGUCAGUUUUGAAAUAAUUAGUUCGAGAUGUAAAGUGAGUAAGAGGUGCAAACUUUCUAACUGGUCUUCUUACUAGAGGAAAAAUAUUUUUUAAAUUACAGAUCUUAAUUCAAUAUUAUGAAAAUAGUUCAGAGUUUGAAUGUUUGAAUAAUUGCUUCUUUUUUUUUUUGCUGUGUCUUGAUUAA